rnacentral:rRNA from 1 species
UGAGCAAUCUGCCCUUCACAUCGGAAUAACCAUUGGAAACGAUGGCUAAUACCGAAUAUGACUUCGGAUCGCAUGAUCUGAAGUGGAAAGCUCCGGCGGUGAAGGAUGAGCUCGCGGCCUAUCAGCUUGUUGGUGAGGUAAUAGCUCACCAAGGCGAUGACGGGUAGCUGGCCUGAGAGGGUGACCGGCCACACUGGGACUGAGACAGGCCCACG